rnacentral:rRNA from 1 species
AUUGAACGCUGGCGGCAGGCCUAACACAUGCAAGUCGAGCGAGCGGCGGACGGGAGAGUAAUGUAUGGGGACUGCCCGAUAGAGGGGGAUAACUACUGGAAACGGUGGCUAAUACCGCAUAAUGUAGGAUAACCCAUAUGGGAUUAGCUAGUAGGUAAGGUAAUGGCUUACGUAGGCGACGAUCCCUAGCUGGUCUGAGCGGAUGAUCAGCCAAAAUGCGACUGAUCCACUGCCCAGACUCCUACGGGGGCAGCUGUGGGUAAUAGUGCACAAUGGGCGCAAGCCUGAUGCAGCCAUGCCGCGUGUAUGAUGAAGGCCCUAGGGUUGUAAAGUACUUUCAGUCGGUAGGCGUUACCGACAGAAGAAGCACCGGCUAACUCCGUGCCAGCAGCCGCGGUAAUAC